rnacentral:rRNA from 1 species
ACAUCCAGAGAACUUAGCAGNGAUGCUUUGGUGCCUUCGGGAACUCUGAGACAGGUGCUGCAUGGCUGUCGUCAGCUCGUGUUGUGAAAUGUUGGGUUAAGUCCCGNAACGAGCGCAACCCUUAUCCUUUGUUGCCAGCGGUUCGGCCGGGAACUCAAAGGAGACUGCCGGUGAUAAACCGGAGGAAGGUGGGGAUGACGUCAAGUCAUCAUGGCCCUUACGGCCAGGGCUACACACGUGCUACAAUGGCGCAUACAAAGAGAAGCGACCUCGCGAGAGCAAGCGGACCUCAUAAAGUGCGUCGUAGUCCGGAUUGGAGUCUGCAACUCGACUCCAUGAAGUCGGAAUCGCUAGUAAUCGUAGAUCAGAAUGCUACGGUGAAUACGUUCCCGGGCCUUGUACACACCGCCCGUCACACCAUGGGAGUGGGUUGCAAAAGAAGUAGGUAGCUUAACCUUCGGGAGGGCGCUUACCACUUUGUGAUUCAUGACUGGGGUGAAGUCGUAACAAGGUAGGCGUAGCGAG